rnacentral:rRNA from 1 species
UCGAGAAUCUUCCGCAAUGGACGAAAGUCUGACGGAGCGACGCCGCGUGGAGGAUGAAGUGCUUCGGUAUGUAAACUCCUUUUGCCAGGGAAAAAGUUUAUUGAUGGUACCUGGAGAAUAAGAGGUUGCUAAACUCGUGCCAGCAGCAGCGGUAAUACGAGUGCCUCGAGCGUUAUCCGGAAUCAUUGGGCGUAAAGGGUGUGUAGGCGGUUUGAUUAGUCUCGUGUAAAAUUCUUCGGCUCAACCGGGGGCGCGCACGGGAAACGGUCAGACUAAGAGGAUGGAAGGGGUCUCUGGAACUCAUGGUGUAGCGGUGAAAUGCGUUGAUAUCAUGGGGAACACCAAAAGCGAAGGCAAGAGACUGGUCCAUUUCCUGACGCUGAAACACGAAAGCGUGGGUCGCGAAUGGGAUUAGAUACCCCCGUAGUCC